rnacentral:rRNA from 1 species
CCUGGUUGAUCCUGCCAGUAGCAUAUGCGUGUCUCAAAGAUUAAACCAUGCACAUGCAAGUACGCAGUGCCGGUACAGUGAAACUGUAAAUGGCUCAUUAAGUCAGGUAUGGUUUCUUUUUUCUCUCCAUCUGUUACUUGGAUAACUGUGGUCAUUCUAGAGCUAAUACAUGCCAACGAGCGCUGAUCUCCCGGGAUGCGUGCAUUUAUCAGACCAAGACCAAUCCUGGCUCACCCGGCCACUUUGGUGACUCUAGAUAACCUCAGGCCGAUCGCACGUCCCCGUGACGGCGAUUAUGCAUUCGGAUGUCUGCCCUAUCAACUUUCAACAGUACUUGCUGAGCCUACCAUGGUGACCACGGGUAACGGGGAAUCAAGGAUUGAUUCCAGAGAGGGAGCCUGAGAAACGGCUACCACAUCCAAGGAAGGCAGCAGGAGCGCAAAUAACCCACUACCAUCUCGGGGAGGUAGUGACAAAAAAUAACAAUUUAGGACUCUUUCGAGGCCCUGUAAUUCGAAUGAGUACACUUUAAAUCCUUUAACGAGGAUCCAUUGGACGGCAAGUCUGGUGCCAGCUGCCACAGUAAUUCCAGCUCCAAUAGCGUAUAUUAAAGUUGCUGCAGUCAAAAAGCUCAUAGUUGGAUCUUGGGAUCUAGCUGUCCGGCGCGAGGCAAGCUACCGCCUGCCCCAGCCCAUGCCUCUCGGCGCCCCCUUGAUGCUCUUGACUGAGUGUCCUGUGGGUCCGAAGCAUUCACUUUGGAAAAAUUAGAGUCCACAAGUAGCGAUGGUCCCCAAAGCGGCCAAACUUUUGCGACUCUCCCGCAUUAAAUUAGAGGCUUUUUGUUGCUUGAUAAUGGAAUUAUGUCUGUAUAGAGCAGAGCAUGCCGGUUUUGACAUGAUGUUAUUUUAUGGAAUUAUUUUCACUCAUAUACAGUGAAAGAUUGUUGUUGUGUUGUUUCAAGAUGUUAUUUGUUUACAAUCAAGUUUCAGUUAACUCCUCACUUCUGUCCAGAAG